CCAUAAUUCAUCAUCAGGAACUAUACUUGAGGGUCAUUUGCAAGUCUGCCUACCUGCAGCUGAAUCUGUAAUCUCAGCAAAUACAAUUAUGCACUUCUCUUAACCUGUGAUUUGAGCCUCUCAGUCAUACCCAUAAGUUGGGAAGCAAGAGGUUAAAACAAGCUUGAAGAACAAAGGAAGUCAUUUGCUCAGUAUGAUUUUAUUUUAGGUCACGAGGUAGUCUUUGCUGAAGACCUCUUCCUGUCCACAUGCUUGUUUGCUAUUGUAGAUGGCAACCUAUUGAUUCUCAGCCUUGUGAUUUGUAAAUCAACAUAUUAUUGCAAAGUUAUAUGUUUCUUCCCUGUGAAUGAACAGUUGGCCUGUACACCUGGCUGCUUCAAGGAAGAGAUGUAGAACAUUUUUAAAAAAGCCCCAGGGAUUGGUGGGGGUGGGUGCAUCACUUUUCCUUUUAAAUAGCACAGUGCCCUGCAGAGAGAAAGAGAGAAAGAUAUUUCAGAUCACAUAUCUAUUCUUUCAGAAUAGAUCACCUGUCCUUCUUUGGCUCGCUCGCUCUUUUCUUCUUCUAUUCAGAUUUUGCUGCUGAGGCGCUGCAGCAGGUACAUUUGGUGAGGAGGCUUGGAUAGAGUUUCAGGUGUCCAUGUGUUCUUUCUUUUCUUUCCUAGUUCCCCUUUUAGGUAGAAGAAAAAAGCACAAAAAGCAAAGAAAAUGAGAAUCAGAAAUACAGUGAAGGAUAUAAAGCAAUCUGUUAACGUGGCAGAGUUUAUGAUUCCCGAAUGGGCACCCGUGAUAUGUAAGACAUCAGAGACUGAAUGGAAAGUGAACUGCUUGGAAAAUAAUAAUAAUAAUAACAAAUAGAAAAUGCCCCCAUUUUCUCUUGCUUAGGAGGGAAAAAGUGGUCAAGGCCAUCUCAGAAAGGGUAGUGUUCUGGCGGCUGGUGGGCAUGAGGUUAAUAUCCAUUUCACUCCCUGGCAGUAGCAAUUUCACGGAUCUUGUCAUCUGUGGACAGUUGUAGGAAAGGAAGAUCAGAAAUGACAAAUAUCUACAUUAUCUCCUGGGAUUAAAAUGCUGCAAAAAAAGUUCUUUUAAUAUGAAGCUGUCAGUUGAUCAAUGAUUUGAUUACAUAACAGAGGUCUUAGCUUAAAAAAUAGAAAGUCUCUAAAUGAA
rnacentral:lncRNA from 1 species